AAAAACAUCGCCUCCCGCAAACCUCUACGUAUAGGAGGUCCUGCCUGCCCAGUGAACUAGUUUAAACGGCCGCGGUAUCUUGACCGUGCAAAGGUAGCGCAAUCACUUGUUUUUUAAAUGAAGACCUGUAUGAAUGGUGGAACGAGGGCUUAACUGUCUCCCCCCUUAAGUCAGUGAAAUUGAUCUGUCCGUGCAGAAGCGGACAUAAAUAUACAAGACGAGAAGACCCUUUGGAGCUUAAGACACUAAGACCAACUAUUACUAAAACCUAACACAAAUUAUGUUUAAACCUAAUAGCUACUGAUCUCAGUCUUCGGUUGGGGCGACCACGGGGGAAAGAAAAGCCCCCAUGAGGAAUGGGGUAAUACCCUUAAACUAAGAAAGACAUUUCUAAGACACAAAACAUUUGACCACUACAGAUCCGGCUACAUAGCCGAUCAACGAACCAAGUUACCCUAGGGAUAACAGCGCAAUCCCCUCCCAGAGUCCUUAUCGACAAGGGGGUUUACGACCUCGAUGUUGGAUCAGGACAUCCUAAUGGUGCAGCCGCUAUUAAGGGUUCGUUUGUUCAACGAUUAAAGUCCUACGUGAUCUGAG
rnacentral:rRNA from 1 species